rnacentral:snRNA from 1 species
AGAAAUCAGGUGGUAGGAUAGAA